rnacentral:rRNA from 1 species
GAUGAACGCUGGCGGCGUGCCUAACACAUGCAAGUCGAGCGAUUCUCUUCGGAGAAGAGCGGCGGACGGGUGAGUAACGCGUGGGUAACCUGCCCUGUACACACGGAUAACACACCGAAAGGUAUGCUAAUACGAGAUAAUAUGCUUUUAUCGCAUGGUAGAAGUAUCAAAGCUCCGGCGGUACAGGAUGGACCCGCGUCUGAUUAGCUAGUUGGUAAGGUAACGGCUUACCAAGGCGACGAUCAGUAGCCGACCUGAGAGGGUGAUCGGCCACAUUGGAGCUGAGACACGGUCCAAACUCCUACGGGAGGCAGCAGUGGGGAAUAUUGCACGAUGGGCGAAAGCCUGAUGCAGCAACGCCGCGUGAGCGAUGAAGGCCUUCGGGUCGUAAAGCUCUGUCCUCAAGGAAGAUAAUGACGGUACUUGAGGAGGAAGCCCCGGCUAACUACGUGCCAGCCGCCGCCGUAA